UACGGGGGGGGGCAAGCGUUGUUCGGAAUUACUGGGCGUAAAGGGUGCGUAGGCGGCUUUUUAAGUCGGAUGUGAAAACUCUGGGCUCAACCCAGAGCCUGCAUCCGAAACUGGAGAGCUUGGGUUCUGGAGGGGAAAGCGGAAUUCCUGGUGUAGCAGUGAAAUGCGUAGAUAUCAGGAGGAACACCGGUGGCGAAGGCGGCUUUCUGGACAGAUACCGACGCUGAGGCACGAAAGCUAGGGGAGCAAACAGG
rnacentral:rRNA from 1 species